CCUCCUAAAGGGUAACGGAGGCGCGCGAAGGUCCGCUCGGGACGUCGGCAACGUCCUUUUGAAUGCAAGAGUACAAGCGGGCUUGACUGCGAGGCCCACAAGCCGAGCAGGUGCGAAAGCAGGCUCUAGUGAUCCGGCGGCCCCGAGUGGGUGGGCCGUCGCUCAAACGGAUAAAAAGGUACUCCGGGGAUAACAGGCUGAUCUUGCCCAAGAGUCCACAUCGACGGCAAGGUUUGGCACCUCGAUGUCGGCUCAUCGCAUCCUGGGGCUGGAGCAGGUCCCAAGGGUACGGCUGUUCGCCGUUUAAAGCGGUACGCGAGCUGGGUUCAGAACGUCGUGAGACAGUUCGGUCCCUAUCCUCCGUGGGCGCAGGAGAAUCGAUGGAGGCUGCCCCCAGUACGAGAGGACCGGGGUGGACGCACCUCCGGUGAACCGGUUGUCGACCAACGGCACGGCCGGGUAGCCGCGUGCGGCGCGGAUAACCGCUGAAGGCAUCUAAGCGGGAAGCCGUUCCAGGGAUUAGUUCUCCUUCCGGUAAGGGCCC
rnacentral:rRNA from 1 species